GAGGUAGUAGUUCAUUUGGUUAGAAUACUGGUUUGUCAAACCAGUGGUAACGAGUUCAACUCUCGUCUAUCUCG
rnacentral:tRNA from 1 species